AACGAACGUUAGCGGCGCGCCUAACACAUGCAAGUCGAACGCGACAGGGGCAACUCUGUUGAGUGGCGCACGGGUGAGUAACACGUAGGUAAUCUCCCCUCGAGUGGUGGAUAACCUUCCGAAAGGAGGCCUAAUACAGCAUAAGACCACGGCCUCGAAAGAGGCUGAGGUCAAAGCGGAGGAUCGCAAGACUUCGCGCUUGAGGAUGAGCCUGCGGCCCAACAGGUAGUUGGAGGGGUAAUAGCCCACCAAGCCUAAGACGGGUAGAUGGUCUGAGAGGAUGAUCAGCCACACUGGAACUGAGACACGGUCCAGACUCCUACGGGAGGCAGCAGUGGGGAAUCUUGCGCAAUGGACGAAAGUCUGACGCAGCGACGCCGCGUGGGUGAUGAAGGCCUUCGGGUUGUAAAGCCCUGUGGGGAGGGACGAAUAAGUUGCAGCUAAUACCUGCAGCGAUGACGGUACCUCCUUAGCAAGCACCGGCUAACUCUGUGCCAGCCGCCGCGGUAAGAC
rnacentral:rRNA from 1 species